GAUGAAGAACGUAGCGAAAUGCGAUAAGUAAUGUGAAUUGCAGAAUUCAGUGAAUCAUCGAAUCAUUGAACGCACAUUGCGCCCGCCAGUAUUCUGGCGGGCAUGCCUGUCUGAGCGUCAUUUCAACCCUCAUGCCCCUAGGGCGUGGUGUUGGGGAUCGGCCAAAGCCCGCGAGGGACGGCCGGCCCCUAAAUCUAGUGGCGGACCCGUCGUGGCCUCCUCUGCGAAGUAGUGAUAUUCCGCAUCGGAGAGCGAUGAGCCCCUGCCGUUAAACCCCCAACUUUCCAAGGUUGACCUCAGAUCAGGUAGGAAUACCCGCUGAACUUAAGCAUAUCAAUAAGCGGAGGA
rnacentral:misc_RNA from 1 species